rnacentral:rRNA from 1 species
GGAGUUAUUCAAUGACUCUGCGGGCGGCUCCAGGGAAACCAAAGUUUUUGGGUUCCGGGGGAAGUAUGGUUGCAAAGCUGAAACUUAAAGGAAUUGACGGAAGGGCACCACCAGGAGUGGAGCCUGCGGCUUAAUUUGACUCAACGCGGGGAAACUCACCCGGCCCGGACACUGUAAGGAUUGACAGAUUGAUAGCUCUUUCUUGAUUCAGUGGAUGGUGGUGCAUGGCCGUUCUUAGUUGGUGGAGCGAUUUGUCUGGUUAAUUCCGAUAACGAACGAGACUCCGGCCUACUAAGUAGAACGUAGAUUCUUUGUCUACGAGACUUCUUAGAGGGACUCGGGGCGUCUAGCCUCACGAAAUGGAGCGAUAACAGGUCUGUAAUGCCCUUAGAUGUCCGGGGCCGCACGCGCGCUACACUGAAGGAAGCAACAAGCUAUACCCUGGUUCGAAAGGACUGGGUAACCUUGUGAAACUCCUUCGUGAUUGGGAUAGGGACUUGCAAUUAUUUCCCUUGAACGAGGAAUUCCUAGUAAGUGUGGGUCAUCAUCUCGCGUUGAUUACGUCCCUGCCCUUUGUACACACCGCCCGUCGCUACUACCGAUUGAAUGAAAUACUGAAAUUGACGGAUUGGUCUUUUGGUGGCUUCGCGGCUGCCAUUGUGACUGAGAAAUCACUUAAAGUGUUUCAUUUAGAGGAAGUAAAAGUCGUAACAAGGUUUCCGUAGGUGAACCUGCAGAAGGAUCA